rnacentral:rRNA from 1 species
GACGAACCGUGCGAACGUUGUUCGGAUUCACUGGGCUUAAAGGGCGCGUAGGCGGACGGUCAAGUCAGGGGUGAAAUCUUUCAGCUCAACUGGAAAAGUGCCUCUGAUACUGAUCGUCUCGAGGGAGGUAGGGGCAUGUGGAACUUCCGGUGGAGCGGUGAAAUGCGUAGAUAUCGGAAGGAACGCCGGUGGCGAAAGCGACGUGCUGGACCUCUUCUGACGCUGAGGCGCGAAAGCGUGGGGAGCAAACAGG